GCGUAAAGGGUAUCUAGGCUGUGGAAAAAAGGAAAUAAAUGAAAUAUUUGGUAGUCAUCAUCUAUGUUUGUUUUCCUAGUUCACUUGAAUUCAGAUGGGCCGCAGGAAGUCAUUAUGGAACGGUAAUGUGUAGAUAUGAUGACGACCGACAGAGGUGAAGACAUGUUGCCUUUGAGUAUUGACGUAAUGUACGAAGGUAUGGGGAUAAAGUGGAUUAGAGACCACGUAGUCCAUACGGUAACGCUGAACGUUCAAUGUAGGAGUUAACUCGCAAGACCAAUGCUGGAGAUUCUUGGUGUUCAGCUAACGCGUUAAACGUUCCGCUGGGAAGUACGGUCGCAAGGUGAAACUCAAAAGAAUUGACGGUGAUUGGACAGGG
rnacentral:rRNA from 1 species